GGACUAUCUAACAACAAUCCCAGUGCCAGGCAGAGGAAAGCUUCAAGUUUGGUCAAGAGAGUUAUCUCCCAGUAAUAUAAGCUAUUGCUGCUGCCGUUGGUAGUCUACCAGAACUCAGAGGCGUUGACACUAUUGCUAAAAAUCCCACAUACUUCACACCCAAGACUUGGAAGAAUCAAGCUGAACUGACCUGGAAGCCUCCUCCCUGAAGACUAGCUCUCUGAGCGCCUGAAGAUACUACGCAGGCUGCCAGAGGAGAAAAGCCACCAGCAGUCCUACCCAGCUGUGAAGCCUACGAACCACACAGACCAGCACAGCCAUAGAGCCUCAAGGGUAAAAUGGUAGCACUUAAACCUGGGGCAACCACAGCUGUCUAUCGGAAGAAGAAACUCAACAACAUCCUCCUGCAUCAAACAGCAGGAAUCCAGGCCAGAGAUCAAGUCAACAGGAACAAGCGGAAUUUCUAGUCUUAUGUUUAGUUUUAUGGUAACAAAGCC
rnacentral:lncRNA from 1 species